UACGGAGGGGGCUAGCGUUGUUCGGAAUUACUGGACGUAAAGCGCACGUAGGCGGCUUUGUAAGUUAGAGGUGAAAGCCCGGAGCUCAACUCCGGAACUGCCUUUAAGACUGCAUCGCUUGAAUCCAGGAGAGGUGAGUGGAAUUCCGAGUGUAGAGGUGAAAUUCGUAGAUAUUCGGAAGAACACCAGUGGCGAAGGCGGCUCACUGGACUGGUAUUGACGCUGAGGUGCGAAAGCGUGGGGAGCAAACAGG
rnacentral:rRNA from 1 species